CAGGGAGUCCAGAGAACGGAAACUCUUACCGAAAACCUUGACCGUGGUGAAGCUCCUCAAGAUUCUGCCAGGCCUGACUUCAACAUGGCAAGAGAACUUCCGGUCAUCAUCGUGGAUCUGGACUGGAGAGAGGCAACACCUCUUCUUGCUCAACCGUUCUGUACGUAGCACCAUGCCUAGCACGUGCUUGGCUCAGAAUACGUAUUUGCUGAGUGAAUGAGAACUGAAUGAACUCAUGGCUUCUUUCCCCCACCAGGGAAACCCACAUUCCCUGGAGGCGGAGAAGUGACAGCUCCUUUUCCACCCCUUGUCUGGGACAGGCUGGACCAGGUGGGGAAGCCUCCCACACUGCUGGCUGGAGAUCUGUUUUGCUGAUGACAGAAAAGCUUGUCUGUGCUUCAGCAAAAAACAUACAGAACAAGACAGAAGCAAUCAGAAUCCAAAGGCAGAGAAUCUCCCACCUUGGCUGGCUACCAGGCCUGUUCCCUCCACCCAGUGACUUCCAUUUACAGAGGACUGAGACUGGAUUUCAGGGAAGUGACUCCUUGGUAAAAACUGUCUGGUUAGUUACAGAAGGACAUGAGGACUGUUCCCUGCCAGAUGCAACUGUACUGGUUGGCUAUCUUGGGAUAAAGCAGGCUGUCCUUACCUUCCAACGCUGAGAAAACAGACGUUAGGCUGGAACUACA